AAACGCUGAGGUCACGAGGCUUAUCGUUAGCCCCGACGCGGCGUCGGUUACCAGUCUCAUUCGGCAGCUCACCUCGUAACGGUACGAAUUAUUUAGUUAGUUCACUGCGUUGCUAUCGAAAACGUAAUUAAGUUUCUUGACCAAAAAAGUUAGUUAAAUAAACCAUUCGUUGAACAAUAAUUCGUGACGCUAUCGAAUAAUAAUUACGAAAUAAAGACGACGAGCUCAGAUAUUACGCAGUUGGAAUAUCCGCGACUCGAUUCAACGUACGCUUCGCAACGAUCAAGGAGAUGGGGCCUUUGGAUGCGGAGAAAAACAAAUUACUAAUUGCGAUUAGGUAAGAUUAAAAAAAAAAAAAAUCAUCAUCCCUAACGCUGCCUCUGCUGACUCCUCGGAGAGGACUUCCCACGCAAUUCGAGGAUCAAAAGGACCCGAGGACGCCCACUGGUAUUCACGAUUUGUGGUGUUCUCCACUUUUCGUGAAACGAGGGGAAAAAUGGAAGAGAAAAGAAAAAAAAAGGAAUCGAAUGUAAAACGGUAUCGCAAAUAGGUGAUCGUCACGCCAUUCAGCCAGCUGCUCUAAGGCUGCCUAGGGACGCGAGAGAUACGAGGAGAGAAGAGGAAAGGAGAAAAUGGAGAACAAAGAGGAACUCAGUGAGUAACCGAUACGAGACAAGAAAAUAAAGGUGCAGCGGAUUGUUGCGCGCCAACGUGUUCUGCAGACUUUUCAAGUAAUGGCCGCAUUAUAAUAAUAUAUAUUUACGUUAUAUAUACGUAUGUAUGGCAAGUAAAGCUGCUGUUGCAAGAGAAAUGGCCGCAGCAGCCCCCCAGGCCACGUACGAGAAACAAUUCGUUUUGUCUUUCAUUUUUCUGAUCAAAGAAAGAGGGAUGAAAGGAAUCGAAGAGAAAAAUAAAAAGUGGAAUAGAAAAUAAAAAUUGAAUCAACCUUUUUUUCCAUAACCUGAAAUUUUUCACCGAGGUAAAAAAUUAUCUGUAAUACGGUUUAAAAACGCUCUUUCCAAAUUUUAGGAGAACGAAGAAAAAAAAAGAAAAAAAAAAGAAAUCAGCCACGAAAAUCACGGACAACAAUUUGAGUAGCGGUAUACUUGUGCACGGUUUAUUGGUCGAUGUGCUCCUCGGGUACAUCUUAUUACAGAGGGUGCGAAUUCUGGAGGUUUACGUCAACAAUAUCUCAGCUGAACCCUCGUCAAUCACCAGGAGUAGCUCGACCAUGGCAAUCCUGGUCCGAGUGACACAGGUCGAGUAAAGCAGACCUAUAGAUAUCACCUGUACCACCGAGCUUGGCGUCGAAAGAAAAAAGAAAAAGGUGAAAAAAAAAAAAAAAAAAGAAACCAAGUAAAGAAAUAUUGAGGACGCAACUACAGGAGCGUAGGAACGGGGGAGGGAACGGAGUAAAAAAAAAGAGUAGGCGAAGAAAUAGGGAGGCAGAUAGAUAGAGAGAGGAAGAGAGAAGGGGGGGAAAAAUAGAAAAACGAGAAAGAAGAAAGACACGAGAGAAAACCAAAAAAAGGUAAACUAAAAAUAAAAUAAAAUUAGCUUCCCGGCGCGAACUCUCCGGAGAGACGGAAACUCGGUCCACCCUCAUCCCUCCAUCAUCCCGCCACUCCAGAAUCUACCAACCUCCCUGGGAAAACCUCCGUCCCCGUAGUACUAUAUACACAUUUCUGUCUCCCUGGGGAUGGAUACCAGGUGACCUGUCACGCUCCACCGAUUAACCUCGCAAAAACAAUCCCGGGGACAUAUGCGUCCCAAAAGUUAACCCCGUUACUCGCCCCUCGCCCCCCUUAGCGAGCUUCUCCUUUUUCCGGAGAUGGUCGUAAGAAAAUCGCAGUAUAUCGUCAAAUUACUGCUGGCCCAAAGAAUUUUGCGGCUUUUCUUUUUUUUUUUUUUUUUCUUUUAUUCAUUCAUCGUUAGAUACUUUCACCUUUCUUAUAUUUUACAUGCGUACAUUUAUUUACGUGAUACACCAUAUGUACGUACGUACCGGCUGCGCAAAGAGCCGAUAUGAGACUUGAAUUCGCAGUGAAAAAUGAAUUUACAUCACCGUGUAACGUGAGGUGAUUUUUCAAAGGAAAGUAUAUACCCGUACGUAUGUACAUUGUGUGUGUAUAUAAUUUUUAUUUUUGCUUUUUUUCUCUUUUGAAUUAUUAAAAGCUCAUAGUACGUGAAUUUGCAUAGCUUGAUAACAUUUUCCUUCUGUAUACAGGUAUACGUAUUAUACCACACUUCUGUUUUACAUUUCUAUAGGUAUAUACCGACUUGCUUCGAGAAAAAUGAAAAAAAAAUAUCGGACAAAAGGGAAAUGGUUGCGAACAAAAUGUAUAAAAUAAAAUUAACAAAAAAAAAAAAAAAAAAAAACCAAGAAACGGACAGCCAAACAAAAUUAUAAAGUUAAUGAAAUGGGAAAAAAAAAAUCGUUCGGAAUAACACGACGACCCUCCGCCGUAAUACCUAAUUGAUUCGCGAAUUAUUAUUGUGAUAAAAACAUCAAUGAAAUGAAAAACGAGAAAGACAACGAAAAAAGAGAAAGAAAAUAGGUAAAUAUACCUUCUCGAUCUCCUGAUGUGGAAGUCUGGACAGCUCGGUUCGGAUGGAGGAAAUCAAGUUUAUCGGAUAAUCUCACCUUACAAAAUUCAACCCUUAUUUCGUCCCUCGAUAUUCUAUCUUAUUUUCGUUUACUUAUAUCCUUUAAACGUUACCCGCAUGGACCACUCGUUCCUCGCGAUCCUUUUGAUUUUUUUAUUUUUUUUCUUUUACCUUUUUGCUCGUUUUUAUUUCAAAAUGUGUACCGGCGCGUAGCCAAACAAAAUCCCGAGCUUCGGAUGCUGCUGCACUCCUGGAACGAGGGGACCGUAUGAAAAACAAAUUACGCGCGGGUUCGUACAAACGAAAUAUACGAAAUAUAAUUCUCACCUCGCGUGCGUAUCGGAGCGGUGAUUCGAUUUUGCAAAAAUUAAAAAAAAAAACAAGAAAAAAUAGAGGGAAAAAAACAAGGAGCGUUUGGACGGUCAGUUUUAUCUCCGCGGAACGGACGGGUCAAUUUAUGUCUGUGUAUAAUGGUACGGCAUGUACGUACGUCGAAUUGGCCAUAUCGAACUGUGCUAUCGCGUGAAUGAAUAAUUAAUAUAAAAUAAACGUAAUUGACGGUAAAACAUCCGCUCGGAAGCAAAAGCAAAAAACAAAGAAACGAAAAGGAUGACGCCCGAAGAGUAAUUGAAAAUAGGUAAUUGAAUAUGUAAAGUUUCGCGAGUAUAUCUAUUGUAUCGACGAAUCGCACGGUUUUAAUAUUUUUUUUCAAUUAGCAUCGCACCCUGUGGUGCAGACGAGAACCGGUUCGCAAUAUGUUUUUCGAAAAUUUCGCACGACGCGGUACGAAACGCGUCGCUCAACGCGGUGAAGAUUUUUUUCUCCUCUUCCAAUUUUCAAUUUACGAAGGAGAAAUCUUUUCUUCGAUCCAUUUCCCGACUCUCGAGUUACUCUUGUAUAAAAUCUCGUUUUCGUAAAUCAUUCAAUUAGAAUUCAACGAACUCUUUCAGCCGUUAUUUAUUAUAUUUUAAUGAAAAGUAAAAGAGAAAAUUCUCACAAUAAAAGUUUGUUUUUUUUUUUCUCCCGAAUCGCCAACUUAUAUUAUUCGUACGUACUAUAGUACCACGCGUACCGCGAUUCAACGAUUCGCGAUGAGAAAAAAUUAAAUGUGAAUAAAUAAACGAAGAAAAGAGGAACGUACAAAAAGUGUAAUGAAAAAAUUUCAAUAAACUUUUGAACGAACAGACGUAGGAACAUAGAGAACCGUACGAAGAACGGAAUUUUCAUACGGGUAGGCGGGUACUCUAAACGAAUGAAAACGAUGAAUGUCGAAAGAAAAGGAAAAAAACGAGGGUGGAAAUGUACACCGUUUAAUGCAGAGCGAUGCAGAGAGCGACGGAGGAGAUGAAAAACGAAAAAAGAGGAGUCGAUAUACCAUCGUUAUCACAUUCACUAUUAAAAAAAUGAUGAACGGAAAGAAUUACGUGAGGAAAAAUUUAUACAAAUGAUAUCUUAAUUUUCAUACACCCUCUCCUCUAUGAAUGGCCAUUAUAUACGCGUGCUUAAUUUUAUAUCCGACUGAAACAACGCGUUAUACAUUUAUGGAGAAAGGCAAUUUUUAUCGGGUAUUUUACACUUACCACCGCACCCGCGGAUGUACGUGAAUUUUCUAUCUUUCCGUUUCUUCUCUCUUUUUUUUCUCGAGACGAGGGUUUUACGGAUCGUAUUAUGAUUCUCUAAGUUUAUUCUAACGCUACGCUAAACGACGUGAAAUAUUUUUCGAUUAUUACGUAACUCCGUGAAAUUGACAACUAUGCAUGUGAUGUAAUUUAAAUGUAAUUGUUCCAUGGAAUAACUCUGCAGGGCGGAUGCGCGCACACCUGUGUACGUAUAUUUAUUGUAUGUAGAUACAGCAGACAUACAUACACGUGUGAUAUAAUUCUGCGUAGAGUUUACUCUGUUUUCUGUUCGGUAUUUAUACGUCGGAGCAUGGGUAUAUAUCGAACAAAAUGUAUAUUCGCGCAUCGCGGGGUGGUAUUGUGUCUAUGAUCCUGCCAUAUUAUUGUUGCGGUCGGUUUUCAUUGGGCGGCGAGGAUUCCACGUUCGUCCUUUUUCCCCAUUUUAUUCGUGCGAAUGACAAAAAAUCUCCCAUUCCACGCGAUACGGACGUAUACAUGGGCGUUAUACACACGAGGCAAGGGCAAGGAGGUUAUUCAACGGCGGGACUAACCUACUGGGACAGAAACGGACGUGCCAUGGGGGGUGAUACCGAGAAAAGCCGCAGACAUUUAUAUUCUACGGAAAAAUCGCUGUAACGUUACCACAACACCGGGACCGCCGCGAGGAUUCGGUUGCUCCUUUCUUUAUUUUUCCACGGCCGAGUUGAAUACAUGCAUAUCGAGGAAGGUUACUGUGAAUUUAAUGGCAAAUUAAUACCAAAGGAUGAUCGAACGUUGAAUCCACGAUGAAGAGCUGCUGAUUGAAUGAUUACACGAUGUCAAGAGUCAACGGUGGCAGAGCUUGAAUAAUAUAAAAAGUUACACGUGCUUCCAAAGAAAAGAAAAACAAGCUUCUGAAAUAAUUUUUUUUAAUUCAUAAAUAAUAUUAAUGAAAUUAAUAUUCUAGUAUAUGAAUUAAGCACUUAACGGACGAGUGGAAUGCAAAGUUGGAAAAAAACUAAAAAAGUCGUUCAAAGAGAGAAGACGAAUGAAUAUAUAAAUGAGAAGGUCUUUCGUCUUGGAUUCGACGGCAGUUCGGCUUCGGCGACAGAAGCGGCGACAUCGGGAGCGACAUCAGUAGCAAAGCGGGUUCCUUAGAGCGACGAUGGAGAGAGAGAGAACGAUGCCCAUUGCGCGAUGCAAGC